rnacentral:rRNA from 1 species
UACGUAGGGUGCAAGCGUUGUCCGGAAUUAUUGGGCGUAAAGAGCUCGUAGGCGGUCUGUCGCGUCGGCUGUGAAAUCCCGAGGCUCAACCUCGGGUCUGCAGUCGAUACGGGCAAACUAGAGUAUUGCAGGGGAGACUGGAAUUCCUGGUGUAGCGGUGAAAUGCGCAGAUAUCAGGAGGAACACCGGUGGCGAAGGCGGGUCUCUGGGGCCAAAUGAACGUCGUGAGGAGCGAAAAGCGUGGGGGAGCAAACAGG